CCUACGGGAGGCAGCAGUGAGGAAUAUUGGUCAAUGGACGAGAGUCUGAACCAGCCAAGUAGCGUGAAGGAUGACUGCCCUAUGGGUUGUAAACUUCUUUUAUAGGGGAAUAAAACAGGGUAUGCAUACCCUCUUGUAUGUACCAUAUGAAUAAGGAUAGGCUAACUCCGUGCCAGCAGCCGCGGUAAUACGGAGGAUCCGAGAGUUAUCCGGAUUUAUUGGGGUUCACGGGAGCGUAGGUGGCUUGUUAAGUCAGUGGUGAAAGUUUGCGGCUCAACCGGAAAAUUGCAGUUGAAACUGGCAGUCUUGCGUACAGUAGAGGUGGGCGGAAUUCGUGGUGUAGCGGU
rnacentral:rRNA from 1 species